CAGGCCCUGGCAGAGGCCCUGAGGCCGUCAUGUCUGCUUCUGACUUGCGUCACCUCUGAGCAUCAUGUCAGGUUGUUGUGAAAAGAGACGUCAGCUGUCAAAUCUACAAACUCUGAUGCGUCAUUGUAAAACUUCCCAGGACAGUUUGUCUUAUCAACAAAGUGACCUGUUGCAGAGCCACUCACAGGUCGUGUCUGCUGCUUCACUACACACAAGACGUGUCCCGAAAGGUCCUGAAAAAUGUGACGGAAAAAAGCAGACGAACGGGAAGAGGAUCAACUCCUCGGCCGCACUGUUGUCAUUGCACCAUCAGACACCCAGGAACCAAAAUCUGUCUGGAAUGUGUUAGGACAGCACAGUGAAUGAGGGGAUUGUCAGACAGAAGAGAAGAAAUAUGAGGAAAAGAAAACGAGAAGGGACAGAAGGGAAAAUAAGAUUCAUGAGACAAUAGUUAUAUAGGCAUCAGUGUGGCUCCUAUCUGGAGAUCAGCUAAGAGUUGCAUCCUGUAUAAUAAAGUGUGAACGUGUUCAACUUUCCUGUUUCAAGGUUUCAGUAUCUCAGAACAAUUACACAUGUGGAACCAGAAUGAAUCCUUAAGGUACGAACGGGGUCCUGUGCUCUUGUCUUGUUCGCUGGUCUCGAGAGCUGAAGAUUAUUUUAUAGCCCGUCAUGGUUUGUACGCUUUAUGUGCAUGAGAUACAGUAUAUCAGA